UACGGGGGGGGCAAGCGUUGUUCGGAAUUACUGGGCGUAAAGCGCGUGUAGGCGGCUAAGUAAGUCGGGCGUGAAAUCCCACGGCUCAACCGUGGAAGUGCACUCGAAACUGCAUAGCUAGAGUCCUGGAGAGGAAGGUGGAAUGCUUGGUGUAGAGGUGAAAUUCGUAGAUAUCAAGCGGAACACCGGUGGCGAAGGCGGCCUUCUGGACAGUGACUGACGCUGAGACGCGAAAGCGUGGGGAGCAAACAGG
rnacentral:rRNA from 1 species